GCUGGGCACAGUGGCGCAGGCCUGUAAUCCCUGCUGCUGGGGAGGCUGAGGCAGGAGGAUCUCGAGUUCAAAGCCAGCCUCAGCAAUGGGAGGCACUAAGCAACUCAGUGAGAUCCUGACUCUA
rnacentral:sRNA from 1 species